AGCGAACGCUGGCGGCAGGCCUAACACAUGCAAGUCGAGCGGCCGUAGCAAUACGGCAGCGGCAGACGGGAGAGUAACACGUGGGAACGCGCCCUUCGGUUCGGGAUAACUCAGGGAAACUUGAGCUAAUACCGGAUACGCCCUUACGGGGAAAGAUUUAUUGCCGAAGGAACGGCCCGCGUCCGAUUAGCUUGUUGGUGAGGUAACGGCUCACCAAGGCGACGAUCGGUAGCUGGUCUGAGAGGAUGACCAGCCUCACUGGGACUGAGACACGGCCCAGACUCCUACGGGAGGCAGCAGUGGGGAAUAUUGGACAAUGGGCGCAAGCCUGAUCCAGCCAUGCCGCGUGGGUGAUGAAGGCCCUAGGGUUGUAAAGCCCUUUCAGCGGGGAAGAUAAUGACGGUACCCGCAGAAGAAGCCCCGGCUGACUUCGUGCCAGCCGCCGCGGUAAUAC
rnacentral:rRNA from 1 species